UAUUUCAAACUCUAUAUAGACCAUAGGCUUACUUCGAUAGGACAUCCUUAGUCAAAUAGGAAAGCUGAAGUCACUAAUCAGACUAUUCUUCAAGGUCUGAGGAUAAGGCUUAUUGAAGCAAAAGAACUUUGAAUAGAUGAACUCUACAGUAUCCUCUGGCUUUACAUAACUACACCUCAUGUACCAAUUGGGGAAACACCUUUUAAACUUUUGGAAUAGAAGCUAUAAUCCUAGUAG
rnacentral:lncRNA from 1 species